AUCGCGUCACUUCUUUAGCAUCACCUCCUACUAUUUGGCGGGACAUUCUCACGAGGGAUGAGAGGAAAACACAUGCAACUAUCUACGUUCACUCUCUUUGGGAUUUAUGAUGGACAUAGAACAUAAUCGUCAUAGAGUAUCUCUCCAAAGGCUACCAAAUAAAAAUGACGUAAUAAACGAACUAUCUUUUAUCAAGUAACUAGUACGCUGUUCAUCAUUACGAAUGUGUACAUCCAGGAAUUCUCCAAAAAAGAAACUGAAGUGCACACGUCAAGAAGAACGCGUGCGAGAAUGACAGGUUUUGUAAAAGCUUUGUCAGCUGCGUGGGACGCGGUAAAGCCAUACUCAGGUGGUGCGUAGGCGUUUCUUUUUGCGUAACGAACAUAGCCUACGAACGACACUUUGCC